rnacentral:rRNA from 1 species
UACGUAGGGUGCAAGCGUUGUCCGGAAUUAUUGGGCGUAAAGAGCUCGUAGGCGGUUUGUCGCGUCUGCUGUGAAAACUCACAGCUCAACUGUGGGCGUGCGGGCGAUACGGGCAGACUAGAGUACUGCAGGGGAGACUGGAAUUCCUGGUGUAGCGGUGGAAUGCGCAGAUAUCAGGAGGAACACCGGUGGCGAAGGCGGGUCUCUGGGCCGAUACUGACGCUGAGGAGCGAAAGCGUGGGGAGCGAACAGG